AGCAGCGUGGCUCAGUGGAAAGAGCACGGGCUUGGGAGUCAGGGGUCCUGGGUUCGAAUCCCAGCUCUGCCA
rnacentral:tRNA from 1 species